rnacentral:rRNA from 1 species
GAGGAGAAGUCUGACCGAGCACGCCGCGUGAGCGAAGAGGGCCUUCGGGUCGUAAGGCUCUGUUGUUAGAGAAGAACAUGGGUGAGAGUAACUGUUCACCCCUUGACGGUAUCUAACCAGAAAGCCACGGCUAAGUACGUGCCAUCAGCCGCGGUAAUACGUAGGUGGCAAGCGUUGUCCGGAAUUAUUGGGCGUAAAGCGCGCGCAGGCGGUCUCUUAGGCUGAUGUGAAAGCCCCCGGCUCAACCGGGGAGGGUCGUUGGAAACUGGGAGACUUGAGGACAGAAGAGGAGAGUGGAAUUCCAAGUGGAGGGGUGAAAUGCGUAGAUAUUUGGAGGAACACCAGUGGCGAAGGCGGCUCUCUGGUCUGUUACUGACGCUGAGGCGCGAAAGCGUGGGGAGCAAACAGGAUUAGAUACCCUGGUAGUCCACGCCGUAAACGAUGAGUGCUAAGUGUUAGGGGGUUUCCGCCCCUUAGUGCUGCAGUUAACGCAUUGGGCACUCCGCCUGGGGAGUACGACCGCAAGGUUGAAACUCAAAGGAAUUGACGGGGGCCCGCACAGAUGGGUGGAGCAUGUGGUUUAAUUCGAAGCAACGCGAAGAACCUUACCAAGUCUUGACAUCCUUUGACCAUUCUGGAGACAGAACUUUCCCUUCGGGGACAAAGUGACAGGUGGUGCAUGGUUGUCGUCAGCUCGUGUCUGUGAGAUGUUGGGUUAAGUCCCGCAACGAGCGCAACCCUUGAU